UUCACAUAAAAUGCAAUAUGUCUAGUUAUAACAACUAACACAUCAAGGCGGAGUUUUUAAAAUAUUUAAGAUUUUUAAAUAUUGCUUUAAUAUAUACAUUAUACAUAUACCGUUGAUAUAGUGAAUUUAAGUUAACGUUCUUAACGUAUGCCGAAUUCUUCAGUAUUAUGAAAAUCACAGGACAAAUUCGUCGAUGCUUUAAAUUUAAACCAGUACAAUAUUAUAAAGUCUUUGUGUAUGGGACACUCAAACGAGGCGAACGUAAUCACCAUUGGUUGACAAAGCCAGAAAAUGGAAAAGGGACGUAUGUAGCUGAUGGGAUAACGAAAAAUAAAUAUCCAUUAAUUAUAGCAUCAAGUUCGAAUAUACCAUAUUUAUUGUAUAUUCCCGGGGAAGGACAUAAUGUGAAAGGUGAAGUUUAUGAAGUGGAUGAUUUGAUGCUAGAAAAAUUGGAUGUUUUAGAAGGACAUCCAGAUUAUUAUACUAGAGAAGUUGACGAUAUUGAAGUUACAAAAGGUUAAUUUCAGGUUCAAAAAUUCAAUUGAAAGUUGCUGGGUGUAUUUCCUCAAGAAAUUCAAUCCGGAAAUGGUGUCAAAACCUCGCGUGAACAACUACUCCUCAUCAGGCAACCAUAGCAUGUUUUAAGGCCAGUUAUGGCUUUAGCCUAUGCCCUGCCCGUGCGCAACCCUGGCGGCACCUUGAAUUAAAGUGCACGGUCAAAACAGAAGAGAUACCUAAACCUAGAGGGCUAGGUAAAGCCUGCUUAGUGGGCGGUGGAUUUAAUGGAUGAGUGGGAUCAGUCAUUAAUUCCCUUUUCCUAAAAAUUGAGAAAUAUUCAAAUAAUUGACGAGGAAUCUGACUAGUAGAAGACUGACAUACGUGUAUAUGGAAGAUAUAAGCUUUGAAGACAGAAAUUAAUAAUAACUAUGUAUAAUAAAAUACAUCUAUAUUAUGUGUUGUGUUUUAUGCUCCGAAUAAAUUA